rnacentral:pre_miRNA from 1 species
UUUCUACUCCCUCCGUUCGGAAAUACUUGUCGAAGGAAUGGAUGUAUCUAGAUGUAUUUUACUUCUAGUUAUAUCCAUUUUUAUUCAUUUUUGCGACAAGUAAUUUCGGGCGGAGGGAGUAUUUG